CUACAUUGCACUGACUUGACAAUGACAGCCUGCCCAUGAACCUGUGCUGUGACCGCAUCCUGCAAGUGCUGGCUGGUGCAUCUCUCUACACCCUUCACAGCUACCACCUAGUCCUACUCAUGAGUCUUCCGGUUGCCUGGACAGUUCUGCGGAAUGAGGCUGGACUCAGCCAACCUUGCUCCUGUGCUAGCGUUGUCCUUACUGAGAGUGAAGCAAUCCGCUUGAGUAACUGCUCCCACGACUCCGAUCUCACCAUCAUGGGGCGUGCACGAGAACCACCCAGGUACCCACUCAUGCAGAAUGCACAGAAGCCGACAGACGGUGGAGAUCACCUGAAUUACACAGAGCUUGGACCCAGUAACCCCCCGGGGUGGUGCCAGUGUGAAGGUGCUCUUCCCACCACCACUACAUCAUCUGGAGUGGGUAGGAUGGGAAAAGCAUCCCUCUCAUGGACCUGGGAGCCCUCCUGUUCUUAAGCUUGGUACACACAUACCUGCCCUUAUGCCUGGAUCGCCCCUACUUUCCCUCUGAAACUAAACUGAACCUUCCCUGCACCCUUGAGUCCACAUCUGACUUUGUGCUCCUACGGCUUGUACACAUAUCAAACUCAGCCCCCCUCGCC
rnacentral:lncRNA from 1 species